AGGUAUCAUGGAGGGUGAGAAUCCCGUGUAUACCAACCACUGGAAUGUUAUUAAUACGUUUUCUAAGAGUCGAGUUGUUUGGGAAUGCAACUCUAAAUGGGUGGUAAAUUUCACCUAAUUGCUAAUAUAGCCGAGAGACCCGAUAGUGAACAAGUCCCGUGAGGAGAAGAUGAAAAGAACUUUUGAAAGAGAGUUAAAUAGUACGUGAAAUUGUUGAAAGGGAAACCGGUUGAAGUCAGUCAUGCCGCGGGAAUCAACUUAGGGAACUCUAGUGCACUUCUUCGCUUGCAGGUUAGCGUCGAUUUGAUGUCAUAAAUGACUGGGGAAGGUAGCUCCUUCGGGAGUGUUAAGCCCUUGGUAGAUGUGAUGUUCGGGAUCGAGGAUUGCAACGGAUACCCUUUGGGUUAACCGCCUGGUCUCUA
rnacentral:rRNA from 1 species